GACGAACGCUGGCGGCGUGCCUAAUACAUGCAAGUCGAACGCUUCUUUCCUCCCGAGUGCUUGCACUCAAUUGGAAAGAGGAGUGGCGGACGGGUGAGUAACACGUGGGUAACCUACCCAUCAGAGGGGGAUAACACUUGGCAACAGGUGCUAAUACCGCAUAACAGUUUAUGCCGCAUGGCAUAAGAGUGAAAGGCGCUUUCGGGUGUCGCUGAUGGAUGGACCCGCGGUGCAUUAGCAAGGUGGUGAGGUAACGGCUCACCAAGGCCACGAUGCAUAGCCGACCUGAGCGGGUGAGCUGCCACACUGGGACUGUGACACGGCCCAGACUCCUACGGGAGGCAGCGGUAGAGAAUCUUCGGCAAUGGACUGAAGUCUGACCGAGCAACGCCGCGUGAGUUAAAAAGGUUUGCGGAUCGUAAAACUCUGUUGUUAGUGAAGAACAAGGACGUUAGUAACUGAACGUCCCCUGACGGUAUCAAACCAGAAAGCCACGGCUAACUACGUG
rnacentral:rRNA from 1 species